AUGAAGUGUAAUUGGACAAGGGAUAUUUCCAAGGUUCUUGGUGUGGAGAGUACAGUGACGCAACAGGAAAUAAAGAAGGCGUAUCAUAAGUUGACGUUGAGGCUUCAUCCUGAUAAGAACCCUGGUGAUGAGGAAGCUAAAGCCAAGUUUCAGCAAUUGCAAAGUGUCAUCUCAAUUCUUGGAGAUGAACAAAAGCGGGCAAUGUAUGAUCAGACUGGUUCUGUUGAACACGCUGUAAGUAGUUCAACAUUUCCACCUGAUAAUUUAGCAUCGUAA